rnacentral:misc_RNA from 1 species
UCUUAAAUGUAUUAGCUGACUCUUGUUGUGGGAUUUGGUUCUACUCAGCGUGAUAAUUACUCAUGACCGUUGAGGACAUCUUCUUUCGGGAAGGUGGCCAGGACUCAUCUAGAGUUGCUUCUAAUUCUCCGAAGCUUUCGAGCGGACGAACUUUUCAACCUUUUGACCUCGAAUCAGGCGGGACUACCCGCUGAACUUAA